CAGUAGCCGCGGUAAAACGGAGGGGGCUAGCGUUGUUCGGAAUUACUGGGCGUAAAGCGCACGUAGGCGGCUUGGUAAGUUAGAGGUGAAAGCCCGGAGCUCAACUCCGGAAUUGCCUUUAAGACUGCCGAGCUAGUAGGUGAGAGAGGUAAGUGGAAUUCCGAGUGUAGAGGUGAAAUUCGUAGAUAUUCGGAAGAACACCAGUGGCGAAGGCGGCUUACUGGCUCAUUCUAGACGCUGAGGUGCGAAAGCGUGGGGAGCAGACAGGAUUAGAUACCCGGGUAGUCCCUGUCUCUUAUAU
rnacentral:rRNA from 1 species